UAUUUUGACUAUACGUUUGAGAUUUUUCUGC
rnacentral:piRNA from 1 species